ACCCGUACCGCAAACCGACACAGGUAGUCGAGGAGAGAAUCCUAAGGUGAGCGAGAGAACUUUCGUUAAGGAACUCGGCAAAAUGACCCCGUAACUUAGGGAUAAGGGGUGCUGACCUCUGGUCAGCCGCAGUGAAUAGGCCCAGGCGACUGUUUAUCAAAAACACAGGUCUCUGCUAACUCGAAAGAGGAUGUAUAGGGGCUGACACCUGCCCGGUGCUGGAAGGUUAAGUGGACGCGUUAGCCGCAAGGCGAAGCGCUGAAAUGAAGCCCCAGUAAACGGCGGCCGUAACUAUAACGGUCCUAAGGUAGCGAAAUUCCUUGUCGGGUAAGUUCCGACCUGCACGAAUGGCGUAACGACUUCCCUGCUGUCUCAACCACAGGCCCGGUGAAAUUGCAGUACGAGUAAAGAUGCUCGUUACGCGCGGCAGGACGAAAAGACCCCGGGACCUUCACUAUAGCUUGGUAUUGGUGUUCGAUUCGGUUUGUGUAGGAUAGGUGGGAGACUGUGAAGCAUGCCAGUGUGUGUGGAGUCAAC
rnacentral:rRNA from 1 species